CCCAACUUUUUCCCUGGGUUAAAAGAAUUUCAGGUAUUAAUAGAUAAGAUUAGCAUGGCCCUGUGCAAGAAUGACACACACAUUUGUGAAGCGUUCCAUAUUUUA
rnacentral:snRNA from 1 species